rnacentral:rRNA from 1 species
GACGAACGCUGGCGGCGUGCUUAACACAUGCAAGUCGAACGAAGUGGCGAACGGGUGAGUAACGCGUAAUCAACCUGCCCUUCAGCGGGGGACAACAGUUGGAAACGACUGCUAAUACCGCAUACUGAAGUAGGGGAUUGCGUCUGAUUAGCUAGUUGGAGGGGUCACGGCCCACCAAGGCGAUGAUCAGUAGCCGGUCUGAGAGGAUGAACGGCAAAAGUGGGACGGAGAAACGGCCCAGACGCCUACGGGAGGCAGCAGGGGGGAAUCUUCCGAAAUGGACGAAAGGCUGACGGAGCAAAGCCGGGGGAGGGAUGACGGCCUUCGGGUUGUAAAGCUCUGUUAAUCGGGACGCGGUACCGGAAUAGAAAGCAACGGCUAACUACGUGCCAGCAGCCGCGGUAAUAC